UGAAGGUGGUGGUGUCCAAGAAGUCGACUGACGUUGGGCUGGUGGUCGACCUGAUGGUGAUGUUUGGGUUGUGAGUGUUCAGCGUGUUUAAGAAUAUGAGUGUUGGGGAAUGUGAAUGGUUUUGAUCUUGUCUAUGAAGUCACAUGUUUCUUUGAGGUUACUGCUAUGUUUGACGGAGAGUGGUAUCGAGUAGUGAUCUAUUAAUUCUGCCGUCCUAUAGGUCUCGCUGCCGCAGUCGGACACAAUGGGCCUGCCCGGAGGGAUCUCGUGGGGCCUGCUCCACUUGUGUGGCUCCUUGUGGAUUUUUGGGAGCAUGUAGAACCUGCGGGGGCGAGGGUCUGAUUCGCCUGAGAGGCUACGUCUCACGUCAGGUUGGCCGUGACAGCAGGUGCGCAGCCCGAUCCGAACGAGGGGAGCUCAUCAGCCUGGACCUUCACAUGGAAGUCUGGAGGCAGCAGUCCAGCAUCCUCUCUGUCACGCACACACACACACACACACACACACACACACACACACACACACACACACACACACACACACACACACACACACACACACACACACACACACACACACACACACACACACACACACACACACACACACACACAGCCCGGGUGAACUACUACUGCAGGAAGAGAAGGUCCCUCCCCUCCAUCAUGUGCAGAGAAGAGAGUGAGGGAGGUCUGAGAGGACUUGAUGCAUUUAGCACAAGCUGCAUCCAACAUCACAAGCUGC